GACGAACGCUGGCGGCGUGCUUAACACAUGCAAGUCGAACGGAAAGGCCCCUUUGGGGGUCCUCGAGUGGCGCACGGGUGAGUAACACGUGAGUAACCUGCCCUUGACUUCGGGAUAACUUCAGGAAACUGGGGCUAAUACCGGAUAGGAAUCCUUGCUGCAUGGUGGGGGUUGGAAAGCUUCGGCGGUUUUGGAUGGACUCGCGGCUUAUCAGCUUGUUGGUGGGGUAGUGGCUUACCAAGGCUUUGACGGGUAGCCGGCCUGAGAGGGCGACCGGCCACAUUGGGACUGAGAUACGGCCCAGACUCCUACGGGAGGCAGCAGUGGGGAAUAUUGCACAAUGGGCGGAAGCCUGAUGCAGCAACGCCGCGGGCGGGAUGACGGCCUUCGGGUUGUAAACCGCUUUCAGCAGGGGCGAAGCUUGUGGUGACGGUACCUGCAGAAGAAGCACCGGCUAACUACGUG
rnacentral:rRNA from 1 species